rnacentral:rRNA from 1 species
UACGGGGGGGGCAAGCGUUGUUCGGAAUUACUGGGCGUAAAGGGCUCGUAGGCGGCCAACUAAGUCAGACGUGAAAUCCCUCGGCUUAACCGGGGAACUGCGUCUGAUACUGGAUGGCUAGAGGUUGGGAGAGGGAUGCGGAAUUCCAGGCGUAGCGGUGAAAUGCGUAGAUAUCGAGAGGAACACCUGCGGCGAAGGCGGGUUGCUGGGCUGACACUGACGCUGAAGCGCGAAAGCUAGGGGAGCGAACGGG